UACGUAGGGGGCAAGCGUUGUCCGGAAUCAUUGGGCGUAAAGAGCGUGUAGGCGGUCCGGUAAGUCGGUUGUGAAAGUCCAGGGCUCAACCCUGGGAUGCCGACCGAUACUGUCGGACUAGAGUUCGGAAGAGGCGAGUGGAAUUCCCGGUGUAGCGGUGGAAUGCGCAGAUAUCUGGAGGAACACCGGAGGCGAAGGCGGAUCACUGGACUGCCACUGACGCUGAGGCGCGAAAGCUAGGGGAGCAAACAGG
rnacentral:rRNA from 1 species